UACGUAGGGUGCAAGCGUUGUCCGGAAUUAUUGGGCGUAAAGAGCUCGUAGGCGGUGUGUCGCGUCGGCCGUGAAAACCUGCAGCUUAACUGUGGGUCUGCGGUGGAUACGGCAGGCUGGAGGCUGGUAGGGGCAAGCGGAAUUCCUGGUGUAGCGGUGAAAUGCGCAGAUAUCAGGAGGAACACCGGUGGCGAAGGCGGCUCACUGGACCGGAACUGACGCUGAGGCGCGAAAGCGUGGGAGCAAACAGG
rnacentral:rRNA from 1 species